CGGGGUGAGUAAUGUCUGGGAAACUGCCUGAUGGAGGGGGAUAACUACUGGAAACGGUAGCUAAUACCGCAUAAUGUCGCAAGACCAAAGUGGGGGACCUUCGGGCCUCUUGCCAUCGGAUGUGCCCAGAUGGGAUUAGCUAGUAGGUGGGGUAACGGCUCACCUAGGCGACGAUCCCUAGCUGGUCUGAGAGGAUGACCAGCCACACUGGAACUGAGACACGGUCCAG
rnacentral:rRNA from 1 species